GGGCUGCUGUCGCGAGCAGCGCCUGCUGCUGCUCAUGCUGACAACGGCCUGCGUGGUGAACCUGGCCGUGACCGGUGUCGGCGUCGCCUACCUCCGCCUGCACUUCGGACGGGAGCAGGUUCCCCAGUCGGGUGGUGUUGCGUCUGGGCGAGCGUGCCAGGCUGUCCGUCCCUCGCAGACUCCCCGUCCCACGGCCUGAGGGCACUGCUGCUGCCGCGGCGGGAAGCGGCUUCGGGGGGCAGCCCUGGGAAGAGGCCAGCCAGGCUCCGGCGCCAGCCCGCCACGCUGGCCACCCUGCGCCCCAAGCUCUUCCACAG
rnacentral:misc_RNA from 1 species